AUGAAGUGACUAAAUUUGAAACUUUGAAGUGUUAUGUCCGAAAUGUUCUAUUAAGGUAUUUGGUUUGUUGAAAACAAGACUAGACUUGGGUCUUGGGCUGUAAAGAAGAAUUGGGCUCUAUUUCAUAUUGGGCCUAUAUUCAUUGGUUUCAAAUAUUGAAGCAGCUGAAGGCCUGCCUUUCUAGAUAAUUAGGAUACAGCUGUAAUGUACUAUUCUACUAUAAAGAAUAUAAUUAGUUAUAGCAUAGUCAAUAGUAUAAUGCCACUUGGCUUUUCUGUUUUACCUUAGAUUCCUAUUUUUGUAUAUAUACAUCAAACACUGAUCAUUCAAUACACAGAAAGAAAAUUUUCAUACGUUGCUUUCUUCUUCAAUUCUACAUGGUAAAAUCUAUCACAUAAUCUUCAUCAUUUUCCUUUCUUCAUUCACUCAGCAAUGGGUUCUAUUGAAACCCCUGAUAAUUCUUCUUCCACUACGCGAGUUACUGCACCUGCAGCUUCUCUCACAGCAGGAAUUGUUGACUCAGCUCACCCCUAUUACCUUCAUCCCUUAGAUUAUCCAGGAUGAACUUGGUUUCUUCAGUCUUUGAUGGCAAAGGCUAUGGAGGUUGGAGGAGAGCUGUUGUGAUUGUUCUCUCUACUAAGAACAAACUAGGGUUCAUUGAUGGAUCCCUAGUUGUCCCUGAGGCAGAUUCCGGACUGCAAAAAGCUUGGGCUCGUAGCAAUGAUAUGGUCCUAUCUUGGCUGUUGAAAUCCUUGUCAAAAGAAAUAGCUGAAAGCGUACUCUAUUCUCAGAGUGCAAAAGACUUGUGGAGUGACCUGGAGGACAGGUUUGGUCAGACAAAUGGAGCAAAGCUGUUUCAAUUGCAAAAGGAACUUAGUGAUGUGGUGCAAGGGAACACAAGUGUGUCUACUUCACUAAGAUGAAAAACCUUUGGGAUGAACUUGAUGCACUUAAUACAUUCUCUGCUUGUGUGUGAUUGUGAGUGUGGUGCUAAGGCUAAGUCACACAAAGCACAUCAAGAUGAAAGACUUCUCCAACUCCUAAUGGGUCUAAAUGACACUUUUAUUGGGUAAGGAGCAACAUACUCCUAUCUUCCCCUUUACCAUCUAUAGGAUAAGCUUAUUCUCUAGUCAUUCAAGAUGAAAAACAAAGAGAAAUUCAUGCUACACCAGCUUAUCGUAGGGAUUCAGCUUCUUUUAAUGUUAACAAUCAGGCAGCAAACUUCAAAAGGUUUAAGGACAACAAAGGACACGAGGGUUUUACCAACACAAAGAAGGCUACUGGUAUCUGUGCUUAUUGUAAAAAGCCAGGUCAUACCAUUGAUCAAUGUUACAGAAUUCAUGGCUUCCCAACUGAUUUCAAGUUCACAAAUCAGAGAAAUUUUCAAGGAAAAGGACAGGUGCAAGCAAACAAUGUUUUCAACUCAAAUGAAGAGGUUAUGCAAACAGGAAAUGCACUAGAAAAUGUUCAGUCACUUACCCAAGAGAAUGUGACAGAGUUGCUACAGCUUCUUCAACAAAUGAAAAUGGGACAGCAGAGUGCAAGUAUUUCUGAGCCUUCGGCCAAUGUCAACUGUGCUGGUAUAACAAAUUUUUUUGAUUCUUAUGCUUAUUUCAUUCAAAUUAACAGAAAUUCAUGGAUUUUAGACAGUGGAGCAACAGAGAAUAUGUGUUUUAAUAGAGAAUUCUUUAUUAACUAUAAAGCCUUGCCUAAACCUCUCAUUGUUAAACUUCCAAAUUCCUAUAGAGUUAAGGUGACUCACUCUGGUUCAGUUUCUUUAUUUCCUAAUAUGGUUUUACAAAAUGUUUUGUAUAUACCAACUUUCAAAUAUAAUCUGUUAUCUGUCCAUAAGUUGUGCAGGCAACUCCAGAAAUUUGUCUUAUUCACUCCUUAUUCUUGUUUUCUUCUGCAAGGCCUUCACUGGAGAGCCCUAUGGAGAUUGGUAAAGAAGAGGGAAGGUUUUACAUUCUCAGAUCUAGCCAUUCAGCAGCUGCUUCUAAGAGUCUAUCUAAGUCUAGCAGUUUUUCAGUUUCAAAAAGGAAUACACAUUCCAAUGUUGUUUUUAAUUCCUGUUUUGUUUUUUCUGAUCCUAAUGUAAAGAAAAGUUAUGGCACUACAGACUAGGCCAUUUACCAUUGAGAAAUAUGAAAAGGAUUUCAUCAGAUUGUGUUUCAUUUUGUUCCAAUUUUUCUAGUCCCUGUGCUAUUUGUCCUAUGGCAAGACAGUCUAAGCUCCCAUUCCCCACAAGUUCUAUAUCAACCAAGAAUGCUUUUAAAAUGAUACAUGUGGAUACCUGAGGACCUUAUAACACCCCUACUUAUGAUGGUUUCAACUAUUUCCUCACAAUUGUGGAUGACUUUACCAGAGGUACUUGGACUUAUUUAUUAAGUACCAAAUCUAAUGCUUUCACAGUUCUAAAAUCCUACUUAGCCAUGGUAGAAAGGCAAUUUCACACCAAAGUUCAAGUGGUUAGAACAGAUAAUGCUUUUGAGUUAGGGAGUGAUAAAAUACAAUCAGAAUUUUUUCUUUCCCAAGGAAUUCUACACCAAACCACUUGUGUGCAUACUCCACAAUAAAAUGGAGUUGUGGAGAGAAAACAUAAGCAUUUGUUAGAAACUUCUAGGGCUUUGUUAUACCAAUCACACUUACCUAUUGCAUAUUGGGGGGAUUGUUUACUCACUGCUACAUAUUUAAUUAAUAGGUUUCCUUCAAGGAUCCUGCACUCUAAAACACCUUAUGAGGUGCUCUUCAAAACUACCCCAAACUACUCAAUGCUAAGGUGCUUUGGUUGCUUAUGUUUUGCCUCUACCCCUUCACAUAAUAGAACAAAGUUUGCUCCUAGGGCUGUUGCUUGUGUCUUCCUAGGCUAUCCACAUGGAAAGAAAGGUUAUAAACUGCUCAGUCUCAAAUCAAUGAGAACUUUCAUCUCAAUGGAUGUUGUGUUUCACGAGGAAUGUUUUCCCUUUGCCUCCAUCAACUCUAAUUCUUCUUUUGAACCUUCUUUGCCUACUGCUAAGUCCCACCCUUUUUAUGUCCCUCCUCUAGAGUCUUCACCCAUUCCUUCCUCUUCAAAUGAUUCCAGUACACCACUCACCUCACCAGAUUCUACUCUUCCUAAUGUCUCACCUACUUCAUCUCUUACCUCUAUCACACCUAUUUCCCCUCACUAUACCUCAAGCUACUCACCUCUCUCACAUAGUCCCGCCCCUUUAUUUCCUUUCCCUGGAACUCAACCUAUCUUAGACAAUCUUAUCAAAAAGUCUUCCAGGCCACAUAUCACUCCUGCCUACCUCAAGGAUUACAUUUGCAAUGCCCUCCAGCUCACAAAUGUGAGCAGAUCCUGUUUCCUCACUCCUGUAACAACUCCUUCUGUUUCCUUCAGUAGUCUUUCUUCUACUAACCAACAUAUGCCCAACUCUGUCUAAUCUACAUGAACCUGUUAGUUUUACACAGGCAGCUCAUCAUCCAGGGUGGCAGGAAGCUAUGGCAAAAGAGAUUGAGGCCCUUGAGCUAAACAAGACAUGGGAUGUGGUGGAAUUACCACCAGGAAAGAAGGUUUUACCUUGUAAAUGGGUAUAUAAAGUAAAACAGCACUCUGAUGGUUAUGUGGAGAGAUUGAAAGCUAGAUUAGUGAUGAGGGGUGAUGUUCAAAGAGAAGGCAUCGAUUUUAAUGAAACAUAUUCCCCUGUGGUUUAUAUGACCACAAUAAGGUGCAUAUUAGCUACAGUUGUUAAAAAGGGAUGGGGUCUCUAUCAAUUGGACGUCAAUAAUGCUUUCUUCAUGGAGACUUAAAUGAAGAAGUCUACAUGAAAUUUCCAGUAGGUAUCACACCUCCUUCUCCUAUUCAUGUAUGCAAACUAAAGAAAUCCCUCUAUGGACUUCGACAGGCAUCUCGUCAAUGCUAUGCCAAACUUACUACAGCCCUAAGUUUUAAAGGUUUCACUCACUCUCUAAACGACUAGUCAUUAUUCUUCAAGAAGACAGGUUCCUCUAUCUCUAUAGUCACAAUCUAUGUAGAUGAUAUUCUAUUAACUGGAAAUGAUGAUACAGAACUACAUGCAUUAAAGGAAUUUCUCCAUCAAGAAUUCAGAAUUAAGGAUCUUGGAUUCUUACAUUUUUUUCUUGGCAUGGAGGUCAUUCGAGAACCUCAAGGAUUGAUUCUUUCACAGCGGAAAUUCACCCUCGAUUUGUUGCACGAUUUGAAUCCUUGCAUUUAUCUCCUGCCUCCUCACCUCUUGACUCUUCCAUCAAAUUGUUUGCCAAAACAGGGGAGCCUGUAAAAGACCCAACCAUAUAUCGCCAUCUUCUGGGUAAGCUUAACUACCUUACCCACACCAGACCCGACCUCUCCUUCACCGUCCAACAUCUUAGUCAGUACAUGCAAGACCCUCGCCAACCACAUCUUGAUGCUGCUCAUAGAGUCCUCCGUUAUCUUUUAAAAGAUCCUAGUCUUGGUCUUUUUAUGUCUGCCUCACCUUCAUUUCAGCUUCUUGCCUUUUGUGACUCCGAUUGGGGGACCUGCCCUAAAUCCCGUCGCUCAGUCAGUGGUUUUUAUAUCUCCUUGGGUUCUUCUCCAAUUUCUUGGAAAUCAAAGAAGCAAACCUCUAUAUCUCUUAGUUCAGCAGAGGCAGAAUACCGUUCCAUGCAUCGCGUUGUGGCUGAACUUACUUGGUUGGUUCGCCUCUUUGAAAAUUUGUCCAUCCCUACCUGUUCCUCUUCAUUCCGAUAGUCAAGCCGCACUUCAUAUCGCCAAAAACCCCGUGUUCCAUGAGCAAACCAAGCAUGUGGAAAUCGAUUGUCACUUUGUGCGACAACAAUUUCUUGCUGGUCUUAUCUCUCUUUCCUUUAUCCGAUCUGAUGCUCAGCUUGCCGAUCUAUUCACCAAACCUCUCACAGGUCCUACUCAUUGGAAUCUUUUGGGCAAGUUGGGGGUUCGUACCUCCCCCUCCAACUUGGGGGGGGGGGGGGUGUUGGUGAUAACCUAAUUUCAGAGAAGAGAUAGAGAUGAAGUGACUAAGUUUGAGACUUUGAAGUGUUAUGUUCGAAAUGUUCUAUUAAGGCAUUUGGUUUGUUGAAAACAAGACUAGACUUGGGUCUUGUGCUGUAAAGAAGAAUUGGGCUCUAUUUUCAUAUUAGGCCUAUAUUCAUUGGUUUCAAAUAUUGAAGCAGUUGAAGGCCUGCCUUUCUAGAUAAUUAGGAUACACCUGUAUUGUACUAUUCUACUGUAAAGAAUAUAAUUAGUUAUAGCAUAGUCAAUAGUAUAAUGCCA
rnacentral:lncRNA from 1 species